UUUGGAAUUUUGAACAGACAUUUGAUGCUAUAAGACUGAACUUUUUUUUUUUUUUUUUCGAGUUAUGACUAUUGGCGGUUAAACGAUAAGAAACUAACUGAUUCGAUUCCAAUGGAACUCACGACCCUCCCAACAUUAAAGUAUUUAUUACUGCAGUGAUGUUUCUAACAAUGAUCUUUGGGGAACAAUCCAUGUUGAUGGGCCCUUUGGAAGUUUUCCUAUGGAAGGGUUGUCAGAAUGUAUUUCUAGAAUAGUACUCUGCAAAUAGAAGUUGUGGAUCCACUAUCAGAAGAAUCUAGUGGGGACAAACUGAGUUCUUCUGCUUUGAGAAAUUUUGAAGCCGAGAAGCUCAAAAACUAAAAUCCAGACAGUUAGAUUUAGUUGGAGUUCUUAUGCAGACAAAGUUGUUUAUUCUGCUUUUCAUAUUUCAAAUUGCUGAUUUUUGGAUUCAUGAAAGGCACAAGUUCUGUGCGACACAAAUGUGAAGUAUCGGAGUAACAAUUUCUUUAAUAUAGUACAGUAAAAUCUUGUAAAGCUGUAAACGUUCAAUAAAACAUGCAGAGGUUCAAGUUUGAUAGUUC